CAUCUUUUGAAGAAGGAAGGCGCAAGCCGUGCAAGGAGGGGUUCGCGGAUUAUCAGGUAGUUGGUGAGGUAACGGCUCACCAAGCCGACGACGAAUAGCUGGUCUGAGAGGAUGGUCAGCCACACUGGGACUGAGACACUGCCCAGACUCCUACGGGAGGCUGCAGUCGAGAAUCUUGGACAAUGUACGAAAGUAUGAUCCAGCGACGCCGCGUGGAGGAUGAAGGAGCUAUGCUUCGUAAACUCCUUUUAUGAGGGAAGAAGAUCUGACGGUACCUCAUGAAUAAGCCACGGCUAACUACGUGCCAGCAGCCGCGGUAAUACGUAGGUGGCAAGCGUUGUCCGGAAUUACUGGGCGUAAAGGGUGUGUAGGCGGAUGUUUAAGUAGAAAGUGAAAGGUCGGAGCUCAACUCCAACAUUGCUUCCUAUACUGGAUGUCUUGAGUUUCGGAGAGGAAGAUGGAACGACACGUGUAGCGGUGAAAUGCGUUGAUAUGUGUCGGAACACCAAUAGCGAAGGCAAUCUUCUGGACGAAUACUGACGCUGAGACACGAAAGCAUGGGUAGCGAACAGGAUUAGAUACCCUGGUAGUCCAUGCCCUAAACGAUGUUCACUAGGUGUCGGGGAUUUUUCUUCGGUGCCGCAGCUAACGCAUUAAGUGAACCGCCUGGGGACUACGGCCGCAAGGUUGAAACUCAAAGGAAUUGGCGGGGGCCCGCACAAGCGGUGGAGCAUGUGGCUUAAUUCGAUGCAACGCGAAGAACCUUACCAGGGUUUGACAUGUAACUGCAAGCUCCCGAAAUGGAGUCGCUUUCGAAGGUGUUACACAGGUGGUGCAUGGCUGUCGUCAGCUCGUGUUGUGAAAUGUUGGGUUAAGUCCCGCAACGAGCGCAACCC
rnacentral:rRNA from 1 species